ensembl:lncRNA
GGACCGCAGCCAGGGAGCCGUGAGCUGCCUUUUUUAAGGGGCCCUGGACAUAAACAGCACUUUCCAUAAUGGGCACCCGGCACAGAGGUCUAAAAAAAAUAAAAAGAGAAACAGCACAGAAGAGGCUAAAGCAGGACUCAGCACCACUACCUGAGACUCAGGCUCCACUGAGCUGCAAGCGGGAUGUUAAGAGUGAAACUACCUUGGGGUUGGAAAGAAGCUCUUCAAGAAGUGAUGGGGACCAUGCCGUCCCCUCCUCCCCUGCGGACCUGUCAAGGAAAAAGGCAGAUCUCCUCGUGGUAGAGAGGACUCGGCAGCAGCAUCUCAAACACACCUGCAAGGCAGGCUCACCUGAUCGCGGGCAGGACCACAUCGCUGCCUGAUGGAAAGAACCAUCCAGUUUAGAGGGAAAACCUCUUUUAAAUAGAUUCAUUUGAAAAUCUUCAUGAUAUAAGGUUGGAAAAAUUUUUGCAGAUUAAAAAUAGAUCCAACUUUCUUUAAUAAUAACAACUCAAAGGGAGAAAUAAAGUAUUGUUUCUUUAGAUAACAGCC